AUUGAACGCUGGCGGCAGGCUUAACACAUGCAAGUCGAGCGGGGUGAUGGUGCUUGCACUAUCACUUAGCGGCGGACGGGUGAGUAAUGCUUAGGAAUCUGCCUAUUAGUGGGGGACAACAUCUCGAAAGGGAUGCUAAUACCGCAUACGUCCUACGGGAGAAAGCAGGGGAUCACUUGUGACCUUGCGCUAAUAGAUGAGCCUAAGUCGGAUUAGCUAGUUGGUGGGGUAAAGGCCUACCAAGGCGACGAUCUGUAGCGGGUCUGAGAGGAUGGUCCCGCACACUGGGAAUUAGACACCGGCCAGACUCCUACGGGAGGCAGGAGUGGGGAAUAUUGGACAAUUGGGGGGAACCCUGAUCCAGCCAUGCCGCGUGUGUGAAGAAGGCCUUAUGGUUGUAAAGCACUUUAAGCGAGGAGGAGGCUCUUUUGGUUAAUACCCAAGAUGAGUGGACGUUACUCGCAGAAUAAGCACCGGCUAACUCUGUGCCAGCCGCCGCCGUAA
rnacentral:rRNA from 1 species